rnacentral:misc_RNA from 1 species
GAAAUGCGAUAAGUAGUGUAAAUUGCAGAAUUCUAUAAAUUAUUAAAUCUUUAAACGCACAUUGCGCCCUUUAGUAGGUCUAUUAGGCAUGCCUAUUUAAGCGUUAUUUCCUUUUAAUCUUAAGUACUACUUAGUAAUAGGCGCUUGUCCCGCCUUGCUGCGCGCGGACUCGCCUUAAAACUAUUAGCGGCUAGCAUCCGUUUUUUGUACGUAGUAUACUACGCAAGUAGAAUUAAAAAGCCCGGCGUCUACAAAAAAGACCCCUAAGAUUAACUUUAGAUUAGGUAAGAAUACUUGCUAAACUUAA